rnacentral:rRNA from 1 species
AGUAAUACAUAAGUAACCUGCCCUAGACAGGGGGAUAACUAUUGGAAACGAUAGCUAAGACCGCAUAGGUACGGACACUGCAUGGUGACCGUAUUAAAAGUGCCUCAAAGCACUGGUAGAGGAUGGACUUAUGGCGCAUUAGCUGGUUGGCGGGGUAACGGCCCACCAAGGCGACGAUGCGUAGCCGACCUGAGAGGGCGACCGGCCACACUGGGACUGAGACACGGCCCAG